AUUGGAUCCAGACUUUGAUCAUGGCUCAGGAUGAACGCUAGCUACAGGCUUAACACAUGCAAGUCGAGGGGAAACGACAUCGAAAGCUUGCUUUUGAUGGGCGUCGACCGGCGCACGGGUGAGUAACGCGUAUCCAACCUGCCCAUCACUUGGGGAUAACCUUGCGAAAGUAAGACUAAUACCCAAUGAUAUCUCUAGAAGACAUCUGAAAGAGAUUAAAGAUUUAUCGGUGAUGGAUGGGGAUGCGUCUGAUUAGCUUGUUGGCGGGGUAACGGCCCACCAAGGCGACGAUCAGUAGGGGUUCUGAGAGGAAGGUCCCCCACAUUGGAACUGAGACACGGUCCAAACUCCUACGGGAGGCAGCAGUGAGGAAUAUUGGUCAAUGGACGAGAGUCUGAACCAGCCAAGUAGCGUGCAGGAUGACGGCCCUAUGGGUUGUAAACUGCUUUUAUAAGGGAAUAAAGUGAGUCUCGUGAGGCUUUUUGCAUGUACCUUAUGAAUAAGGACCGGCUAAUUCCGUGCCAGCAGCCGCGGUAAUACGGAAGGUCCGGGCGUUAUCCGGAUUUAUUGGGUUUAAAGGGAGCGUAGGCCGGAGAUUAAGCGUGUUGUGAAAUGUAGACGCUCAACGUCUGCACUGCAGCGCGAACUGGUUUCCUUGAGUACGCACAAAGUGGGCGGAAUUCGUGGUGUAGCGGUGAAAUGCUUAGAUAUCACGAAGAACUCCGAUUGCGAAGGCAGCUCACUGGAGCGCAACUGACGCUGAAGCUCGAAGGUGCGGGUAUCGAACAGGAUUAGAUACCCUGGUAGUCCGCACGGUAAACGAUGGAUGCCCGCUGUUGGUCUGAAUAGGUCAGCGGCCAAGCGAAAGCAUUAAGCAUCCCACCUGGGGAGUACGCCGGCAACGGCAACUCAAAGGAAUUGACGGA
rnacentral:rRNA from 1 species